rnacentral:rRNA from 1 species
UACGUAGGGGGCAAGCGUUGUCCGGAAUCAUUGGGCGUAAAGCGCGCGCAGGCGGCCCGGUAAGUCCGUUGUGAAAGUCAAAGGCUCAACCUUUGAACGCCGAUGGAUACUGCCGGGCUAGAGUCCGGAAGAGGCGAGUGGAAUUCCUGGUGUAGCGGUGGAAUGCGCAGAUAUCAGGAGGAACACCAAUAGCGAAGGCAGCUCGCUGGGACGGUACUGGCGCUGAGGCGCGAAAGCGUGGGGAGCGAACAGG